AGAGCGAACGCUGGCGGCAGGCCUAACACAUGCAAGUCGAGCGCCCGUAGCAAUACGGGAGCGGCAGACGGGAUAGUAACACGUGGGAACGCGCCCUUCGGUUCGGAAUAACUCAGGGAAACUUGAGCUAAUACCGGAUACGACCUCGAGCGGCAUCUCUUGAGGUGGAAAGCUCCGACGGUGAGGGAUGGGCCCGCGGCCUAUCAGCUUGUUGGUGGGGUAAUGGCCUACCAAGGCGACGACGGGUA
rnacentral:rRNA from 1 species